rnacentral:lncRNA from 1 species
UGAGAAUUUCGGGAUGUCAAAUCUGAACGGAGCAAACUUAUUCGAUGGUUAACGGAUAUAGUUUUGGAUAUAGAUAUAAAAAAAAUAAAAAAUAAAAAAAAAAGAAGAGAAAACUCGACAGAUUUGGAUUCGGAUAUAGAUUUUGUCUGCAUCUGACCUGAACUCAAACCGGAACCCAAUUCGAACCCAAAUUGAUUUUACAUUAUAUUUUGAAUUUAUAUUAUAAAAUUUAGAUUUUUAAUGUAAUCUAUUUAGAAAUAUGGUAAAGAGAAAUAAUUAUUUCGGGUUCGAAUUUUCGGGUUCAGGUUCAAGUUUUGAAUCUUUGGUCGGGUUAGGAUUUGAAUACGAUUUUUUAAGAUCCAUCGAAUUUGAGUUCGGAUUUUUAAAGAUCUUCCUCGAAUCCGACCCGUUG